UCAUCUCCUUUCACUGCUCCAUCUGAGCUUUCUCCCAUUGAGCUGAAUACCUCUGGCAGAAUUUCUAACGAACCAAUCAGCGAACAGAAGGAGGAGCUGUGAACGAUGAUGUCAGUGUUCUGCACUGUUUCAGAAUCAUAGUGUGCCUGUGGUUUUAGCGAUGGCAGCGGAGGAACAAAGUUGUCCAGGUU